UACGGAGGGUGCGAGCGUUGUCCGGAAUCAUUGGGCGUAAAGGGCGCGUAGGUGGUGGCUUAAGCGUGCGGUGAAAGCUCGGGGCUCAACCCCGAGUCGGCCGUGCGAACUGGGCUCACUGGAGCAUAGUAGAGGCAGGUGGAAUUCCGGGUGUAGCGGUGGAAUGCGUAGAGAUCCGGAAGAACACCGGUGGCGAAGGCGGCCUGCUGGGCUAUGGCUGACACUGAGGCGCGACAGCGUGGGGAGCAAACAGG
rnacentral:rRNA from 1 species